AGGAUUACAGGGGAAUGGGCUUUAAAGCGAGCCGUCGAAAACGUCAAGAAACAUUAUGUGGCAGUAGGGAUAUUAGAAGAGCUUCAGGAUUCUUUGCAGGUCUUUGAGAAAGUCUUGCCAAACAUGUUCAAAGGAGCCUUAGAUUCAUUCCUAAGAUUUGAACAAAUUGCACAGAGCAACAAGUCAUCAGUUGGUGUCACUAAAUACAAGCAGAAGCCAUCAGCCAAAACUGCCUUAUAUGUUCGAAAUGUCAUAAUGAAGUAUGAAUAUCAGUUCUACAACUGGAUUAAAGAUCGCUUGCAUCAGCAGAUGAGCAAUUUAGGAAUCAAGUCUUAUCGUAAAAGUUAUAGAUGAGAGUAUUAUUAGAUAUGGAGUACUCUUGUUCAUUUGCAAUACAGCCAAUCACUUUUUAAUGUUUUUAAAAAUGUUUUUGUCAAAUGCAUUUUUGUCUCACGUGCAUAGCAGAGUGAGACUAGGCACCGCUUUUCCGACGGCGUCAACAUCAAAUCUUAACCGAAGGUUAAGUUUUUGAAAUGACAGCAUAACUUGAAAGUAUAUGGACCUAGUUCAUGACUUGGGCAUAAGGUUAAUCAAGUAUUACUGAACAUCUUGCCUGAGUUUCAGGUCACAUGACCAAGGUCAAAGGUCAUUUAUGGUAAAUGACCUUAGACCAUGUUGGGGAAUCAACAUCAAAAUCUUAAGGUUAAGUCUUUGAAAUGUCAUCAUAACUUAAAAAGUAUAUGUACCUACUUUAUGAAACUUGGCCAUAAGGGUAAUCAAGUAUCAAUGAACAUCCUGUGUGAGUUUCAAUUCACAUGGCCAAGGUCAAAGUUCAUUUAAUGUCAUUGAACUUUGGCCAUGUGGGGGUAUUUGUUGAAUAACCAUCAUAAUUCUGAAAGUGUUUUGAUCUUGUUCAUAAUGCUUGGACUUAUGACAUCUGUGAUAUGCGUAGGUUGUAUUUUGUAUUGUAAUGGAUUGCCUUUUCAUAUUUUGUGCAAAUGUUCUUAGGCUUUCUUCUUGUGUUGUUAAUCUUUAUUCAUGGAGACAUGUUGGUAAGCUUUGGUGGGGUUCACAUUGUUGAAGAAUAUGAUUUUAUAAUCUUGCACAGGUUGAUUGUGUAUAUAAAUAAAAUAAAAAAAACCCUGGCAAAAUAAAGCCCUGAGAGAGAACUGCCAAAAAGGAAGAUGGUUGGAGGAAUGGCAUUCACUGCUGAGUAAUAUAAUGUUAGGCACCUUGUAAGAGUGACACCUUUCGCUCAGAAUCCUGCCAGCUGCCUUUCAUUAUAAUUCUCACACUUCAUCAAAGCAAAGCAAUAGGGAAUGCUGUGAUGCAUAGUACUUUUAUAGCAGGAUUCCUGACUUCUGACAUGGUACACUGUACAAUGAAGUCAAGAAAUAUUUUUAAAUAACUUAAAGGGGAAGGCAACCUCGGUCAUAAAUUUUAAAUAUUAUUAUCCCAUUUUGGGUGUGUUUACAAUCCCUUUGCCUGUGUCACUUUUUCUUUUCCUUUCCCAGCCCCCCCCCCCCCUCUCCCACUCUCUCCUUUUCUCUCUCUUUGUAACCUUCAGUUUUCUUCUCUCCCCCCCCCCCCCCCGUCAAUUCCACUCGUUUUUGUCUCACCUGUAUAGCAGAGUGAGACUAAAGGCGCCGCUUUUCCAACGGCUGCGGCGUCAACACCAAAUCUUAACCAAAGGUUAAUUUUUUGAAAUGACAGCAUAACUUAGAAAGUAUAUGGACCUAGUUCAUGAAACUUGACCAUAAAGUUAAUCAAGUAUUACAGAACAUCCUGCCUGAGUUUCAGGUCACAUGACCAAGGUCAAAGGUCAUUUAGGGUCAAUGAACUUAGACCAUGUUGGGGGAAUCAACAUCAAAAUCUUAACCUAAGGUUAAGUUUUUGAAAUGUCAUAACUUUUAAAAAAUAUAUGGACCUAGUUCAUGAAACUUGGACACAAGGUCAAUCAAGUUUUACUGAACAUCCUGGCCCAAAUUCACAAAGGUGGUUUUGAAAACCCUUGGUUAAUUCUAAGGUUUAUGCAGAUUUUCUGUAUAAAUAACGCUUAUAUACCACGUAUAUUAAAAAAAUGUCCAAUGCUGAUGCGCGCUAUUGUCACAGUGCGCCAAAUUGACGCCUCUUGCCGUGGUUAUCCACGCUAUUUUAUUCAUUAGUCCACUGUUUGAAGAGUGGACUCAUUAAUUCAAAACAGUGGACUCAUGAAUAAAAUAGCGUACUUAACCAUGGCAACAGGCGUCAAUUUGGCGCACUGUGACAAAAGUGUGCAUCCGUAUUGGACAUUUUUUAUAAACGCGCCUGAUACGCGGUAUAUUAAGCGUAAUUUAUACAGGAAAUCUGCAUAAAUCAUGGACUCAACCGUGGGUUUUCAAAACCACCUUUGUGAAUUCAGGCCCCUGCCUGAGUUUCAAGUCACAUGACCAGGGUCAAAGGUCAUUUAGGGUCAAAUUGGGGGUAUCUGUUUAAUUACCAUCAUAACUUUGAAAGUUUAUGGAUCUGAUUCAUGAAACUUGGACAUAAUAGUAAUCAAGUAGCACUGAACAUCCUGUGCGAGUUACAGGUCACAUGAUUAAGGUCAAAGGUCAAUGAACUUUGGCCAAGUUGGGGGUAUUUGUUGAACUGCCAUCAUAACUUUGAAAGUUUAUGGAUCUGAUUCAUGAAACUUGGACAUAAGAGUAAUCAAGUAUCACUGAACAUCCUGUGCGAAUUUCAGGUCACAUGACCAAAGGUCAAUGAACUUUGGCCAUGUGGGGGGUAUCUGUUGAAUUACCAUAACUUUGAAAGUGUAUUGGUCUAGUUCAUAAAACGUGGACAUAAGAGUAACCAAGUAUCACUGAACAUCUUGUGCGAGUUUCAGGUCACAUGACCAAGGUCAAAGGUCAAUGGACUUUGGCCAUGUCGGGGGUAUUUGUUGAAUUACCAUCAUAACUCUGUAAGUGUAUAGGGCUAGUUCAUAAAACUUGGACAUAAGAGUCAUCAAGUAUCACUGAACAUCUCAUGUGAGUUCCAGGUCACAUGACCAAGGUUAAAGGUAAUUUAAGGUCAUUGAAUUUUGGCCAUUUUAGAGGUAAUUAUUAGAUUGCAUCAUAACUUUCAAAGUUUAUAGAUAUAGUGUAUAAAAUAUGGAUAUAGGGGUAAUCAAGUAUCACUGACAAGUUUUAGGUCAUAUGAUCAAGGUCAAAUGUCAAUGAACGUAGUAUUGUAUCAUUAUAUGAAUGGUGUUUUUUGUGAAUAAUUAUUUUAUAGUAGUUUUCAAAGUCAGCACUGCUGCUGUAUUGAAUCGCGUGAUGCAGGUGAAACUGCCAGAGUCGCUCCACUUAUUAUUUACUAGUAAUUGUAAAUUUAUUGGAUGAAUACGCAUUUGUUAACAUUGUUUUGGGUUUUUCGUAUGUUUUUUUAGUCAAUGUCCAAUUGCAGAAUGUUUCAACUUUUGGGUUUCUACAUCCCUCUUGAAUUUGAAGUUUGUGUUCUUAACUGUAGAGGGGGUAUGGUUAUCACUUACUUUACCCAUAACCCGUCCAUUUGGUUUUAUAUUAUCUAUAUCACAUAUUGUUUUCGUCACUCAUGUCGCAUGCUACACCCCUUUAUAGCACGAGUACUUUAUUAUUUACAUCUAUUAAUAUAUUGUAAAUCAACCAUUGGAAUUGGGACAGGAUGCUUCAUGCCACAGUAAUUCAGUUAACUUUUUCUGUCCCUGGCGUUCCAAUAGUUGAUAUUUCUUAUUUUGUAUUGUUUAUACUGAAAUGUAUUUUUGUAUUUGCCGAAUAAUAAUGAUAAAUGGUGUGGAACUGGGUGGCAAACAAAAAUUGGCAUUUAUUUUAAUUAGUAGAGGCCUGCUACUUAUUUUGUAAAUCUCCAUUAUUUAAGAAUUGGAGGCAUUCAUUCAGUUAAUAUUCAUUCUUGAUUGUUCAUUUUUCACAAGCUGCUUUGCAUUCCCAGGAAGACUCCCCCCCCCCCCCCUUUGACCUUUAUCCUUAGGUAGUUGGUCCUCUGACCAUUUCAUUUGCUCCUAUUACAUUGGCUAUUAAAUACAUCUAUCAUGGAAUUUACGUCCCCUUCAAAAGUGGCCUCAGUUCUUGCAUUGCAAUUCUCUCGGGUAGUUAUGCCUCUUUUUAUGUGUGUAAAUAUAUUUUUAUUCAUCACUGUGACUAAAAUAUAGAUUAAAUAGAGUACAUUUUUGAAGAAAUGAAAAUGGAUUUUUACUUCAUACAUAUACACAGCGAAUGUGUAAUUGAACGAUAAUUAAUCAGUUAUCAGUCAUUGCACUGUACUAUAAUUUUAAUGCUUGUGCUCACCUCAGGUGAUGCUGGAGUUUUGUUUGGGUUGUCCAUCUAUCUUUCCUAAUUUUGUUCUAAAAAACCAUUUAAUGGAUUGACUUCAUAUGUGGAUCAUGUAUGCAUAUGGGCCUGACAAAGUCAUUAUACACCUUAAAAUGCUUUGUACUUACAAUAACUAAAGAACCCUUUUACAAAUCAACUUCAUAUUUAGAUCACUUAUGCCUUUGACUUUGUGACUUGCUAAACUUUUCAGCACUUAUCAUCGCCACUCCAAUAUGCAUACAUGACCCAAGUAUAAAACCAUUCUUGAGUUAUUGUGAGUAGGUCAUAGGAGUGACAAUGACCUGGGGGGUGUUUCACAAAGAUUAAGUAUGGCUUUGAGUCGCACUUAAAUGCCAAUUUGCUAUACGGUAUAAAAGACAUCACCGCAUUGGUCAGAUCAUAAUAAUAAUAAUAAUGGUUAUUUAUAUGCACUAUACACAAAAAGUAUCACAGCGCUUACAAUUGUCAGAAAUAAAAUAUAAAUAUAAAUCUUAAGUAACAAAGUAUGCAUUAAAUUGUAUCAACUAUUGGUGUUCUCAACUGCGCCAGAUGAGGCCUGGUGGCCUCUUGCUUGCUGCUUCGUUCACCAACAAUUUAAAGGACAAGCCCGGUCAGCACAUCAUUCACAGAAGCUCUAGUAUAGCACUUGAGGCCACCAGGCCCCAGAUGGAUUAGCCGAGAGAAUGCGCACUACUGCGGAUUGAUACAUACGAUUGCACGUUGCAUAUCAUGUCCGCGUCACCAUUUAAGUGUGACUCUAAGUCUUACUUAAAUCUCUGUGAAACACCCCCCAGAUUAGUUUUUCUGGUAUGGAGGUCAAAGGUGCAAGGUCACAGAGGUCAUUAGUACCUUAAAACGUACCUUUUUGUGAUACAUCAAGAACCCUUUGAUGGAUCAACUUUAUGUUGUAUACAUAUAGGAGUGACAAUGAUUUGGUUAAUGUUAUGGAUAUGAGGUCAAAGAAGUCAUGUUUCUUGAAUUCCAUGUUCUAAUGACCUUCUCAUGAUAACUUGAGAAUGGUUUGACUUCAUACUUGGGUCAUGUAUGUAUAUUGGAAUGCUGAGAGGUUUCACAGGUCACAAAGUCAAAGGUUAUGUCACAGAGAUAAACCUUGAAACCUGGAAGCUCAUUAACCAUUGAAGGUAUCAACUUCAAAAUUUGAAUAUUAUUAGUGUCAAUCUGUUUGCUUGUGGGAACAGAAAUCAAUACAUUUUGACAUUUUAAUUUUCACAAUAAUUCAAAACUUUUUGAAGGAAUUCAAAAAUAGAAAUGAAAAAGAACUUUACUUUGUUAUUGCUUUUUACCCUGAUAAUAAUGCAAGAAAUACUUGCUGUUUGUAAAGCUUCUGCAUCAUAUACUGUACACAUAAAUAGUGACAAUGAUCUAAUUAAUUUGAUGUGUGAAAGUAUGCCUGAGAUUAACAAUGUGAUGAGAUUGAUUUUUUGCCACAAAAUAAAGUAUGCAAUAUAAAUAUCUAGCAGUGGCAAGAGGCAUCGAUCUUGACCGUGCGCAGUCGAGUAUCUAUCUUGUUUUAUGCCAUACCUGUGUGUGAACUUUAUAACAACUCAUUUAAGAAAAUUUGAAAAUAAAACAAUUUUACAUUUUUUUGGUCA